rnacentral:rRNA from 1 species
CCUACGGGAGGCAGCAGUGGGGAAUAUUGGACAAUGGGCGCAAGCCUGAUCCAGCCAUACCGCGUGGGUGAAGAAGGCCUUCGGGUUGUAAAGCCCUUUUGUUGGGAAAGAAAAGCAGUCGAUUAAUACUCGGUUGUUCUGACGGUACCCAAAGAAUAAGCACCGGCUAACUUCGUGCCAGCAGCCGCGGUAAUACGAAGGGUGCAAGCGUUACUCGGAAUUACUGGGCGUAAAGCGUGCGUAGGUGGUUGUUUAAGUCUGUUGUGAAAGCCCUGGGCUCAACCUGGGAAUUGCAGUGGAUACUGGGCGACUAGAGUGUGGUAGAGGGUAGUGGAAUUCCCGGUGUAGCAGUGAAAUGCGUAGAGAUCGGGAGGAACAUCCAUGGCGAAGGCAGCUACCUGGACCAACACUGACACUGAGGCACGAAAGCGUGGGGAGCAAACAGGAUUAGAUACCCUGGUAGUCCACGCCCUAAACGAUGCGAACUGGAUGUUGGGUGCAAUUUGGCACGCAGUAUCGAAGCUAACGCGUUAAGUUCGCCGCCUGGGGAGUACGGUCGCAAGACUGAAACUCAAAUGAAUUGACGG